UCGAGAAUUUUUCUCAAUGGGGGAAACCCUGAAGGAGCGACGCCGCGUGGGGGAUGAAUGGCUUCGGCCCGUAAACCCCUGUCAUUUGCGAUCAAACUUCACGACCUAACACGUCGUGAACUGAUAGUAGCGGAAGAGGAAGGGACGGCUAACUCUGUGCCAGCAGCCGCGGUAAUACAGAGGUCCCAAGCGUUGUUCGGAUUCACUGGGCGUAAAGGGUGCGUAGGCGGUCGGGUAAGUCUGACGUGAAAUCUUCAAGCUCAACUUGGAAACUGCGUCGGAUACUAUUCGGCUAGAGGAAUGGAGGGGAGACUGGAAUACCUGGUGUAGCAGUGAAAUGCGUAGAUAUCAAGUGGAACACCAGUGGCGAAGGCGAGUCUCUGGACAUUUCCUGACGCUGAGGCACGAAAGCCAGGGGAGCAAACGGGAUUAGAUACCCCGGUAGUCCUGGCCCUAAACGGUGCACGUUUGCUGUAAGAGGAAUCGACCCC
rnacentral:rRNA from 1 species